GACGAACGCUGGCGGCGUGCCUAAUACAUGCAAGUAGAACGCUGAAGAGAGGAGCUUGCUCUUCUUGGAUGAGUUGCGAACGGGUGAGUAACGCGUAGGUAACCUGCCUUGUAGCGGGGGAUAACUAUUGGAAACGAUAGCUAAUACCGCAUAACAAUGGAUGACACAUGUCAUUUAUUUGAAAGGGGCAAAUGCUCCACUACAAGAUGAACCUGCGUUGUAUUAGCUAGUAGGUGAGGUAACGGCUCACCUAGGCGACGAUACAUAGCCGACCUGAGAGGGUGAUCGGCCACACUGGGACUGAGACACGGCCCAGACUCCUACGGGAGGCAGCAGUAGGGAAUCUUCGGCAAUGGGGGCAACCCUGACCGAGCAACGCCGCGUGAGUGAAGAAGGUUUUCGGAUCGUAAAGCUCUGUUGUAAGUCAAGAACGAGUGUGAGAGUGGAAAGUUCACACUGUGACGGUAGCUUACCAGAAAGGGACGGCUAACUACGUGCCAGCAGCCGCGGUAAUACGUAGGUCCCGAGCGUUGUCCGGAUUUAUUGGGCGUAAAGCGAGCGCAGGCGGUUUGAUAAGUCUGAAGUUAAAGGCUGUGGCUCAACCAUAGUUCGCUUUGGAAACUGUCAAACUUGAGUGCAGAAGGGGAGAGUGGAAUUCCAUGUGUAGCGGUGAAAUGCGUAGAUAUAUGGAGGAACACCGGUGGCGAAAGCGGCUCUCUGGUCUGUAACUGACGCUGAGGCUCGAAAGCGUGGGGAGCGAACAGGAUUAGAUACCCUGGUAGUCCACGCCGUAAACGAUGAGUGCUAGGUGUUGGAUCCUUUCCGGGAUUCAGUGCCGCAGCUAACGCAUUAAGCACUCCGCCUGGGGAGUACGACCGCAAGGUUGAAACUCAAAGGAAUUGACGGGGGCCCGCACAAGCGGUGGAGCAUGUGGUUUAAUUCGAAGCAACGCGAAGAACCUUACCAGGUCUUGACAUCCCGAUGCUAUUUCUAGAGAUAGAAAGUUACUUCGGUACAUCGGUGACAGGUGGUGCAUGGUUGUCGUCAGCUCGUGUCGUGAGAUGUUGGGUUAAGUCCCGCAACGAGCGCAACCCCUAUUGUUAGUUGCCAUCAUUCAGUUGGGCACUCUAGCGAGACUGCCGGUAAUAAACCGGAGGAAGGUGGGGAUGACGUCAAAUCAUCAUGCCCCUUAUGACCUGGGCUACACACGUGCUACAAUGGUUGGUACAACGAGUUGCGAGUCGGUGACGGCAAGCUAAUCUCUUAAAGCCAAUCUCAGUUCGGAUUGUAGGCUGCAACUCGCCUACAUGAAGUCGGAAUCGCUAGUAAUCGCGGAUCAGCACGCCGCGGUGAAUACGUUCCCGGGCCU
rnacentral:rRNA from 1 species